rnacentral:rRNA from 1 species
UACGUAGGGGGCAAGCGUUGUCCGGAAUUAUUGGGCGUAAAGCGCGCGUAGGUGGCCCGGUAAGUCCGCUCUGAAAGUCACAGGCUCAACCUGUGAAAGCGGGUGGAUACUGCCGGGCUAGAGUCCGGAAGAGGCGAGUGGAAUUCCUGGUGUAGCGGUGGAAUGCGCAGAUAUCAGGAGGAACACCAACGGCGAAGGCAGCUCGCUGGGACGGUACUGACACUGAGGCGCGAAAGCGUGGGGAGCGAACAGG